rnacentral:misc_RNA from 1 species
CUCUAUUCCAGCAGCCGCGGUAAUACGUUCCCGGGUCUUGUCCUCACCGCCCGUCACACCACGAGAGUUUACAACACCCGAAGUCGGUGGGAUAACCGCAAGGAGCCAGCCGCCGAAGGUGGGGUAGAUGAUUGGGGUGAAGUCGUAACAAGGUAGCCGUAUCGGAAGGUGCGGCUGGAUCACCUCCUUUCUAUGGAGUCCAUGUUAUCAGCAGGGUAACGGACAAAUCUGCAGCUCAGCUGCAACAAGCACAAUGCAUUCACUCGGGUUCAGUUUUGAAAGGCGCAAGUCUUUCAAGCUUUGUUCCUUGAAAACUGGAUAACGAAACAAACUAGCUGAAACAUCUAAUAAUGCAGCGAUGCUUGCAUCGCACAUUAGUUGUAACAAUAAAGUUAAGCUAAUAAGAGCGCACGGAGGAUACCUAGGCACACAGAGA